rnacentral:lncRNA from 1 species
CAUACCAUGGCUUCCAGAGAAACCUCUGCUCAUAUCACUGCAUGGUCUCUGUGUAUGUAAGUGCAUGUGUAUGUGUCUGCAUAUGUGUGCAUGUAUGUGUAGAUUGUGUGCAUCAGAGAGCACGUGAGUUUGCUUUCACUCGGGAUGACUUGUUUCUUUUUCUUUAGGAACUGUUAAGAAACCAAGUAAAAGUCUCCUGUAAGCUUUUGGACUCCUGGAAAAACCCUUUGCUGAGGAUUGCUGAAUCCGAGAAAGGUUUGGGAAAAUGGGCCACACCUCGAAGCUGACUGCUGGGUAAACGAAAGGACUGAAUCUAUGGGAAAGUUUUGCAAUGAAGAACCAGCAGGGGAAGGUGCUUGCUGCCGCUCCUGAUGACCUCA